AGAUUAGUAAUUCAGAGUGAUUUGUCUAAUGUCUGGUGUUGAACAGGGAUUGACUCUCUGCAGCAACACACAAUGGUUAAUGCUCUUGCUGACCCCAGGGGUAAUUCCCCCCCCCCCCUUUUUUUUUUUUAAACUAGAAGGACUCCAGUGGUUUUCUUUUUCGGCUUCCUCUGUUCUCUAUGCUAAUGCUGCCCUUAACCCUGUAUCUUGAGGUAUAGUAACCAACCUGUCCUUGCUGAGGAGUGGGGAGCAAUCUCCAUCAUCGGGCCAGUGAUGAAAUGACGUCCUAACAUCACGUGGACAAUGAGCUGCAUGAGAAAUGAGAUGUGGUGUUCUUACUAGCGGUAUCGGUUAGUCAUGCCAUAGGAAGGCCGUGGCUUUCUCCUCAGGCUGCAUAACAAGAUUUUUAUCUCCUGGCCCUUAAGAGCUGACACUGGAUGGGUUUGAAGGAGACUGAGAGAGGCUCUUGUUAUUGCAGACAGAAGGAGCUGAGAUGUAAAUGAUGGUUCCUACUUCUCUCAAGUGGAGAUUCAUUGUCAAAGGCACAUCCCCAGUCUUUGUCCCUACCAUUGUCUCAGAGGUUACAAGAUGAGUUUUGACUACCAGAUGAAAGAACAACUCUUGCAGGGAUAAUUCACUAUAUACAAAAGACACUACAAGAGUCGCCUUAUGGAAGUGGACUUAUGGACAAGAGCAAGAGGGGAACCUACAUUUGCACUAAAUAAAAGCAUCAUUCACAGAUCAUCUCAAGUCCUACCAGUGACCUUUUGGAAAUACACGCUGCCUAGACAGCAUGCCAGUGGGUGCUGACCCGCUGACAAAUUCUAGCACUAAAAUAGGUAUGCAAGGAUCCCCACUAUGGUGGAAACUGUUCAGCUGAGCAAGGCUAAUGCAGAAGAACUACAACUUAAGCUCUUGCUAAUUACAGUAAGUGUGGGCUUUGCCCAAAGGAAAGGAUGCACCAAAAUCACAGAAGUGGUUUCUCAGGGCAGGAAUUGUGUCCUUGUAUGAAUUUACCUGUAAAGUACACUCCAGAUGUAUAAUAGAAAUGAGUGAUACAAAAGUAUGCAGCAAUAAAUACUGAUGGCAUCCAGACAUCCUACCUAUCAGCCAGCACAUUGGCUAUCUGCUUCUUAUCUUCCCAUAACCAGUCCCAACCUUCAACCCACCAUCUUACCUUAGUGCAAUGAUUUUUCCAAAGGAGACUUUCUAUAACUUAAGCAUCAAAAUUGUACUUAUGAAAGAAGUUAAGGGCUGUUUCCAAUAGUGGUCAGAAAUCCAACAGGGUUUCCCAACUGAGGAAGUGUUACAGUAACAGAUUUCUGAGUUGCAUGUCUGCGUUUAGUUCAUGAGACUGAUGGUUCAUUAAUAGCACACGUGGAAGAGCAACUUCCAGAUACUCACCACCAUCUAUCUAUACAUGCACACAUUACUGCUACAAUUAUGCUGAAGGCAUAGGGGGCUCGUGUAUUUUGACAUUAUAAAUUAGAACAGAUCACUUCCAUUCCCUCAGCUUUCAUAACUUGGCUAUAACAAAAGAAAUUGCAGUGUAGGGAGCUGGCAAGUUAUGGUUUGUAUUUGUAAGAGAAGGACAUAGCAAGUAACUGUGUGUAGCAUUUUGUUCUUUGUACUGAGAGUGUGUUACACUACAAAACCCUUCCUUAUUUUUCUGUAAGCAAUUAUGUGUAAAAUAAAAUAGCAGCUAUCUUAAUGCU